CAUGCAAGUCGAACGAAGCACUUUAUUUGAUUUCCUUCGGGACUGAUUAUUUUGUGACUGAGUGGCGGACGGGUGAGUAACGCGUGGGUAACCUGCCUUGUACAGGGGGAUAACAGUUGGAAACGGCUGCUAAUACCGCAUAAGCGCACAGCAUCGCAUGGUGCAGUGUGAAAAACUCCGGUGGUAUAAGAUGGACCCGCGUUGGAUUAGCUAGUUGGUGAGGUAACGGCCCACCAAGGCGACGAUCCAUAGCCGACCUGAGAGGGUGACCGGCCACAUUGGGACUGAGACACGGCCCAAACUCCUACGGGAGGCAGCAGUGGGGAAUAUUGCACAAUGGGCGAAAGCCUGAUGCAGCGACGCCGCGUGAGCGAAGAAGUAUUUCGGUAUGUAAAGCUCUAUCAGCAGGGAAGAUAAUGACGGUACCUGACUAAGAAGCACCGGCUAAAUACGUGCCAGCAGCCGCGGUAAUACGUAUGGUGCAAGCGUUAUCCGGAUUUACUGGGUGUAAAGGGAGCGCAGGCGGUGCGGCAAGUCUGAUGUGAAAGCCCGGGGCUCAACCCCGGUACUGCAUUGGAAACUGUCGUACUAGAGUGUCGGAGGGGUAAGCGGAAUUCCUAGUGUAGCGGUGAAAUGCGUAGAUAUUAGGAGGAA
rnacentral:rRNA from 1 species